GUGAGGUUUCUGAACUUCUUGAUAUACACGAGAUGACUACGGGUGUCAAAGGCUUGUUCUUUCACUCAUCCAACUGAAGCCAGUUAGCACUCAAACAGUUACACAGUGUGCAGGUGUAGCUAAAACCCAAACAGGAAGCACCCAUUGAACAUCCUGUUACAACAAAAUAGAGAUACACUUUAGGCACUUGCCACAAUCCUAGCAUCACCAUUGGGCUGCUAUACAAAUCUUGUUCAAUAAUAUUCAGAGAAGGAGGAAAGCCAGUGCAGGGAACUAUGGCAAGUGGGAUAACAAAACUGAAUACUCAGGAUGUCCACGACUUCAUCUAACCAGAUCUGUGGUGCUUGUUUCCAUAGAAACUAUGUAUCAUCUUCAAAGGCAGAAUGAAGCUGUCGUGUCGCUGAAGGAGGAAGAGAUAAGUCAAAAGACAGAUGUCAGAACACCUGCACAUGUAUUAAAACCAGAGGACACAUGAGAGUGCAUAUUAAAUAUAUCCUACAAAAUUAUUUCUAUGUUGAAAGUUAAUUUUCCUUUCUGCCCUUAUUUUUCUUCUGCAGCGGUAGAGGGGAAACCCACGCACAGCUGUGAGGAUGCCAGGCAAAUGCUUUGCUGCUGCAUCAUACCCAUCUCAAAACCUAACGUCAUAAAACCCAGUUUCCUGGACAGAAAACCCGAGGGACUCUUAGAUGUAGGAAGGCUCAUACGCUCUUUAACACAGGAGCGUGGACAAGAUGAAUGAUCCGCAAAGAAGUGCAUUGUGGGUGAGUGCCAAUUCCUUGGAAGGUAUGUGGACUUCUAUUCCCUACAUGGAGUGUGGCUUCAUCUGAUAAAAGGGACUUUACAUACUUAGGUUAGAAAAACUCAUAGAGUGACUUGGGGACACUAUGAUGCUGGAGGCAGAAAACAGACACACACUACUGCUGAACACGGAGUUGCAGCGGCUGCUUCCAGAAACUAGGAAGUAAGAGAGCUUUCAUUCAGAAGGAGCAGGACCAGGCAGGGUCACACUUUGACUUCAGAAUUCUCCCUUCAAAGCUGGUGAAGCGUACGUUUCAGUUCUCUUACACACAGGCUUUGAGUACUCUGCUAGGAAAAUCCCGGAAUGCUAAGACGAAUAAAUUUUCAUUUGCAAUAUCUUCGGUGGCACACGCAUUGUUGUCAUCCUUGCGGUUGGAAGGCUGAAGCAGGAGAAUCAUUGCAAAGGCUGAAGUCAGCCUAAUUGACAUGGUGAGUGUAGGCCAAGCAGAAAGGAAAAAGAGAAAUAAAGAGAGCAAAUAGAGAAAACCCAAGAAUUUUCUCUGGCCCCAUGAAGCCAUGACCUGGUUUGAGGGUGUUGCUUGCCCUAAUUGGCCACAUUUCCAGGUCUGGAGCUGGUAGUGUGCCCUCGGGACAUUGGUCUCUGUUUAUCAUCUUCUUUUAGUCUUUCAAUCUUGAGUAAAUAUCCAAAUAGACCUUCUCAGUGGUGAGAAAAGAAAACAGCAGAAUUUCUCAGCACAAUCAAAGGUUUGCUUGAAUAAUUUUUCUGUACAUAUGAAUUUUCUUCCGGUAGGAAAAAUCUUGUUUAGUUUCAGACUUUCUGAUGCAGUACAAAGAUAUUUCAGUCAAAACUCUAACUAUCUCUAUGAUUUAAAAGUACUCUGAGCAGGACAUUCCAUCCCAAUAGGUUGUCAGCUCAACAAGAACCAAGCUGCACAUUACUCUAACUAGGAAAUCUACAAAUUAAAUAACUUCAUAUUAGUCAUUUUGUAAUUGUAUGUUACAUUGUAUUCUUAAAUGAGAAUUAUGUAUUUUUUUUAAUUUUAAACUAAGGAGUCUUUUUUGAGGUAAUGGAAAUGUUACAAAGAAUCAGACUGCAGUGUCACCACAUAAAAGUGUUCUAUGACAUGUGAAAUGAGUGGAUUUUGAAGCAUGGAGAUAAUUAAAAAGCAAACCUGCCCAUCCUGGUAGGAAAUACCAGCUGUGGAGCUGCAGAUGUAGCAUUUGGUGAGGGGUAAUCAGAGAUGGCAUUUCCCUCACUGAGAUAAUAGCCAAGGGGAGACGAAGAUGUCACGGGUGUGCUGUCGCAGUGUCUUGCAAAGAGAAUCUGGAUAAGCCUGGGUCCUGUCAGAUGAAAGAAAUUCCAGAGACAAUGGCCCUCCAGAGGAUUCAUGAGUGACUUUUCUGCUAUCUGCAGGCUGAGCUAAGACUUUUGAAGACCUUUCAAGGUAUUAUCCCUGCCAGGAUAUCUACAGGGAAACAUUACUAAGAAAUUAUGUCAUAUACAUCAAUCCAUUUGACGCUCAUUUGCAAACAUGGUGCAAGUACAUAGACUAAUACAUAGUCUAUCUGUCUCUACUUUUUACAGUAAAUGGGAUGCAGUACUAGUGUUUCUCAGUGAUGGGAUGUGGUACUUUGUUUCUCAGUGAUGGGAUGCAGUACUAGUGUUUCUCAGUGAUGGGAUGCGGUACUUUGUUUCUCAGUGAUGGGAUGUGGUACUUUGUUUCUCAGUGAUGGGAUGUGGUACUGUGUUUCUCAGUGAUGGGAUGUGGUACUGUGUUUCUCAGUGAUGGGAUGUGGUACUGUGUUUCUCAGUGAUGGGAUGCAGUACUAGUGUUUCUCAGUGAUGUCUUGUGGAGCUCUAGUUUUAAAACCCUUCAAAGCAAUAGCUGCAUGAAAAAUGCUUUUUCAGAGGUGGGGGUAGAGGUGUUCAUGUUCAUUCCAUACCAUAAUUGAUUUUCAAUUGCUAGUUCAGCAGUGAGUUUCGGUUUUUACCUUACAGGAUCUUGCUAACACCAAUGGCAUACACACCAUUCUUUGACCAUAUUUUCUCAUAGUUUGGUAUGCAGUGAGAACACUUCAUUGAUAAAUUAUUUAUGUAAGCCAUUCUCUUUAUUAGUCAAGUAAUCUGAAAUAUAAAUUACAAGCCUCCCAAGUAUUUGUUUUUUCACAUCUAGGAACUAAUGACUUCGGUUACUAGGGAGACUAUUAGGGCAGAUUUUCCUCCAAAUGACUUUUUAAAUGAGUUUUCUGUAUGGGAAAAAUAUGUCACUUGUAAGUAAUGUAUUCUGAUUAUUUUCUAAUGCUAAUAGUCAUUAAUAAAAAUCAUUUUCAGCCAUUUUGGUCAUGUUAAACUGUUAAAUUCAUUAUUAUUAUAUUAUAUUAAAUAUGUGCGACUCAGAAAUAACCCGGGGAUCUGAAUGCAAAAGAGAUGAUACAAAAACAACAAGGAACUAGAGUGUACUUUCUGUCUACUGUGGCAAUCAUUGCUGAACGUACGGUUAGAAAGCCAUAUGCUCGCAUGAGCUAGGGAACUUUUCUCUUUAUAAAAUUGAACCUUAAUGUGGCAAAUCUAUGAGAAAUCAUGAGAUUUCUUUCAGUGUUAAGCAGGGUGUCUUGGGCAAACAUGGAGCACCUGAGACAGAGAACAGCCAUCAGGAAAGACACAUACCCACCUCUGACCUUGGUUGAUCCAUGAAUCCCUUGAGCAGGCUUCUUAGCAGUGUUAACACACUCAUCAAGCCAGCAAGAGAGGGGGGAAAGGGAAGAAGUGAGGUUUCCAGGAGGACUGCCGUACCCUGUGUAUAUUUGGCUGUGUUACCCAAAGCAAUCUUGGAUACAACAGAAUCCUUGUCAAAGAACUCAUACCAUUCUUCACAGAAAUGGAUAAAACAACCAUAAAUUUAUUCACAGAAGAGCAUAAAAGACCCAAGUAGCCAAAGCCACCCCAAGUAAAAAGAGUAAUAUCGACAGUGUUAGCAUCACUCACUUCAAACUAUACUACAGAGCUAGGGUUAGGAGAACAGCAUGGCACUGACACAAGCAGGCAUGUAAACCAGUGGAAGAGAACAGGAGACCCAGACAUAAAACAAUGCAGCCACAUCACUUCAUUUCAAUAAAGGUGUCAAGUACUCUCACGGUGGCCGGCCAGGACUUUUUAAUAAAUAAUACUGGGAAAAUUCACAUCCUGGAGAAACAAAUGGUUAUCAAAAAAUUCUCACUUGCCUCACUCAAAACCCAAUGCCAAGUGUAUCAAAGACAUUAACAUAAGACUCAAAACUCCGAAACUGAUGGAAGGAAUGUGGAGAAGACACUGCAAAACACAGGUAUAGAUGAGCACCUUCUGCAUAGUACUCAAAUGCUCAGGAUCAAUCCUGAAGAACAAGGCCUCAAAAAUGUUCCUGAGGGGUGGAAUGGGCUGUGGUAUAAAGCACUGGCCUAGCAUAGCCAGGGUCUUCAAUUCAACACACACAAAUACACACACACACACACACACACACACACACAUAUACACACAUACACAUACACACACACACUCAUACACACACACACACACACACACACACACACACACACACACACAAAUCCUUACAGCAAAGGAAACAGUUAAGCAAGUAAAAAGGUAAAGAGUAAAGUGACAGCCUGCAGAAUAGAACGUCUGCUAGCUUUAUACGUGACAAAGGACUGAUACCUAGAAUAUAUGAAGAACUCAAAACUCUAAUCAAAUGAUUUAAUCGCAGAUUGGGUUGAGAAGCUAAACAGACUUUCUCAUAAUAAAUAACAUUAUUUAUCAAAUGGCUAAUAUAUAACUAAUAAUGUUACUUUUAUUGCUGUUGUUGCGUGUGUUCAACAUUCUUAGUCAUCAGGGGAAUCCAAAUUAAAACUACUUUGAGGUUCUCUCAUGCAGUUCAGAAUGGCUUUCAACAAAGAAGCCCAGCACAUACUACACAGUUCUAUCACAGGCAGGGGAAAAGGGGACACUUACUGAUUUCCUAAGUCUCCUUACUGAUUUUCUAAGUCAUAUUCUCUGUAUAGUUGGGCAUUGGUGUUUCUUCAGAUAUGAACAACUGGGAUUCAUUUUGGUGUCAAGUGUUUGCGAAGGUGAAAGUGACUCAGUGUGUAUUUAUUUCAGAGACCAGAAAGCUUUUCCCACAAAGUCGUAUGCACACCUAGUCUUACUGAUUAUGACCACUGCUUACACAUGUGAAUAACAAGAAAAUAUAAAGCCAGAAAUGAAAACCAGCAUUUUUGCAAUCUAUUUCACCUGGCCACCUUAAUUACUGUCAAUUAAAUGAUCUACAUGUACUAAAAAUUCCUUGGUGUACUAUGGACAGUACAUGGCACAACACUAAAAACUAUCCAGGAUUCAAAUUGAUUAGGGGGGAAAGCAUUGUCUAAAAUACACUCUAUAACCCAGCAGGACCUGGAGCUGCUGUCCAGAAGGCCAUUAAAGGAAGAGAGAGUAUGUGGUAUCCUAUCAAAGGCAAGCUGGACAGGGCCAUUGUCCUUUGCAUGUAGGGAAAUGAGUGUCAGUGCCUAAAACCUGUUCUCCUCCAGACCUAAGACUACACCAUUCAUGUGACAAUCUGCUUUUCUCCCCUACCCAACCCCACUCUUUAUCCAAAGACAAAUGGUUCUUAGGUUAGGUUUGAAUAACCAUCCAUUUUACAUCAGAGAAGCAGGAAAGAGACCGUCCAUUUUCACUUGGCUGUGUGUGUGUGUGUGUGUGUGUGUGUGUGUGUGUGUGUGUGUGUGUAUUGGCAUACUUUCAAAUGCUUUUUGUGUUUACAGACACUAUAGGCCUUAACUUGAACCAGUCUGCUCUGCAGUGAUGUUUGAGUGAACACUUGGAACCCAUGGGUCCUCUGAACAGUGUUUCCCAACUCUGUCAGUUAGGGAAAAGGUAAAAACUGUUUCACCAUCUUUUCAACGAUGUAGCAAUGAGCUCUUCCUUCAAGUACUAAAAGCCUGGCCUUCGCCGAAGUAAAAUCAUUACCGGUCUCAAGAAUGUUUCUGGCUCUGACAGUGUAAAAGUUUAUGGCUCACUGUUCCGGCCAUUAGAGCUCUACAAAGGUUGAAUUAGGAGACACUGGAGUAGAAGGUGGCAUCCACACAGAGAAGCCCUCAUGUUUCCACAGAGGUGAGAGACUAACACAAUCCUUUUCAAAUCUUAUAUUGAAUAGAAGUGCAUUUUACAUUACAAACCAACCCACACACACACAAACACAUACACACACAAAGACCACAGAGUCAAUCAACUUUAUAUAGAGCUAUAACUAAGAUUUCAUAAAACAGUGCUACUGGAAUUAUAACAAAAACACUAGUAUGUUCUAUUUCAUGUCCCCUGUUUCUUUAUAAGCAGACCAUGAACUAGUAAGAUAUUUCAUAUCCCACUUAUAGUUUUCAGUUUUCCCAGAGCAUCAUGAAGUAUGUUUCAGAGAAUGAGGAUGCUGGGCAAACAUAUGCCUUGAGUCUUUGAACAGUGCCACAGCUGUGUUCUUGUAAGGACCAGUUAAACAGGACAGCCUAAGGUUGUAAUCAAAUGCAUGAGACCUUCGUUAAGUCACAAAGUCUCCUUGGUUAACAUAAAUUCAAUUAUGAAGAGCAGGUAACAAUUGCUAAUUAUUUAUUUAGUCCAGGGCUGUUUGGAAUAACAAAUUAAGUGUGUUUUUCAGUUUAAAUUGGAAAUAAGUUCAUACUUUUAGUAACCAGGUUUGCAAAGGGACUUUUGAAGAGCCCAGAGUCCAUUCUUUUCCUUUUUGUGUUUUGAAAAGGAGUCUCAGAUUCAGCCUGAGAAUCUGCAGGGAAGAAGAUUGCAUGCAAAAAUGAAAAACAAGCACUGUAUAAUAUUGCAGACAGGCCCUGGGGAACCUUUGAACACCUCCCAGACCAUGUGUUUGGGUGAAGACCCAAUCCUUGGGGGGAAAGAACAGUUCUUAAGAGAAGGAAAGUUGGGAGCAUUAGAAAACCUGAGUUAAUGGAGCCCUUUUAAAGAAUCAGAUGCAGAUGUGAAAGGUAAAUGAAGCAACACUCCAGAGGGGGAGGCCAAGAAAGCCAGGAGCAUGAGAAGAAAUGCCCAUGUGACUUCCCAAGGAGGAAGUAAAGAAGGGGCCCACCCACUUAUACCCUCCACCCUGGCCUGGGAAGCCAGAGAAUAUUCUCAGUAUUCCCCUCUCCCUGUCCCUCUCCCUCCCUCUUCUUCUCCCUCUCCUUGUCCCCUUCCCCUUCCCUCUCCCUCUCUCACUUUCUCUCAGCAUAGAGGGUCUAUCACUGGAAAUUCAGCAAUUGAGGUGGUUGGCCCAUGAGCCCAGGGAACUCUUGACUAUGCUUCUCCAAUACUCCUGGCUUUUUACUUUGGCUCUAGGGAUUGAACUUGGGCUCUUGUGCUGGCAAAGCAAGUGCUUUACCAGUUGAGCUAUAAAAGCAUUCUUUAUGGUACAGAUCUUGCUUGAACAUCUAUCAACAGGUUCUUGACACAACCACAAAAUUUUUGAAAAACAAGCUCAUGUAUUAAUUUGAAUUCAAUUUUAGCAGCUUGAAAGUGAGGCUUUAAGUUAAAAGUAGGUGUCUUUAAUUAGUUCCAAGUUUUUAAUCUAACUUCUACUGGAAAUCACACCCCCUUCACUUGAUAUCUAGAACAAAGGACAAAGUAUGAUAGAUAAGUAAGCUUUAAAAAAAACAGAAAAGAAAUCAAAGUAUGUGUUAAGAUCUGGCAAUAUCAUCUGUACUCAAAUGCACAUAAGGAAAAUUAGUUUGGGUUUAAUAUGUAUAAAACAAUGCACAACCCAGACAAAUUGUCUGGCAAAUUAAUGAAUAAUCUAGACUUGAAUUUUAAUGUCUUAGAAGAUGUUUUCUAAGGAAUAAUUUUGGAGGAAUGUAGUACUAGAAUUCAAAAUCUGCCCUUCUCUGUGUGUGAUAUGAUUUUAUAUUCAGUCUUCCAUUCCUGAGGCUUUGUAGGAGACGCCUUAUUGGUACCAAUGUAGAAAACAUCUCUUAAUCUAACGUACAUAUGCCAGGAUUGUAAUAAAUGUUACAGAUAUGGGCAAAGGCUUUAUUUCAGCAAGACCCCUUGGAUAUCUGAAUAAGAUUCAAGGCACAGAACUUUGAAAAGAAGCUUUGCAGCUUCUCUUUGGUUUGCUUUGUUAACAGUGGGCUCAGGGUCAUUCUCAGGUUUAGAAGAGAAAAGGAAACCCCAAUGAGGUCUUUGCUACUCACAGUUCUCUGGUAGACAUCUUCAUAUAUGUUCUACUACUCAAAUGUUUGUUACAAACAACGCCUUGACUUCUCUUUUAAUCAAUGACUUUAUAGCUCCAAUUAAUUUGUUCCAUACAUGUUGUCAAGUCCACAGGUAAGAAUCUACUUCAGUGCUGAGCUCUCAAAGACAAGGGCAGUUCACACUUUGCCCCUUAAGUAGAAGUAGCAGGAAAUAAAGGCAAAAGUAUGACAGGAAGUUCUAUUUGAACACUAGAGAAGGAGUCCUUGCUUGUUCAGGGAGGCUGACACUGAGGUCUCACAUAGCACUGGGCGUGGUGGAGCAUGAAAGGAAGGAAGAAGGUCCCUGGGCAGAAAACAGAGUUCCAAGAAACAGAUUUUGCUAGAUGUGUGUGUGUGUGUGUGUGUGUGUGUGUGUGUGUGUGUGUGUGUGUGUAACAGAGAAAAGCCAGAACUAGAAUGAAACAAAGCAUGAGACAAAGGUAUGCAAAUUCAUAGAACCUUUUACCUGUGGCCAAAGAGGCAGGAUGCAGUUAAAUGAAAGGGAAAGGCAUUGAACGGGUCUGAGUGGGAAAGUAAUAUGACUUGAUUUACACCUAUAAAUGCACACCCCAGCAGCUGUAUGGAGGACUGACAAAGGAAACAAGAAUAGAGGCAUCAAUCAAAAAGCUUUGGCUGAAAUGAGAAAGGUGGUAUCAUGGACCAGUCCAAGGGCAAUGAAAGUGAUUCCUUUUGAAAGCCUCCUGCCGGCAUUGUUAGCUGCCUCCCUGGAAGCUACCCUCCCCCAUUUCAGUCCUCACACGUGAUGCUCUGACAUUCAAGGUUGGCCCAACUGUACUACGAUAUCCCACUCCCAUUAGUAUCCCUGCCCCCACUUGCUACCUAACACUGCUCAGCAUGUCCUUCCUGGUUGUCCAAAAGGACCUCUCAGAAAGGCAGCUGGGCUAAAUCUGCAAAGCCUCUCUCUUGCUUUGUAGCUGCUAAAAGGAAACGGAUUUUAUCCAGCUCUGCCCUUGACCCAAACUAGACAGAAAUGUGAAAACAGAACAAGAUAUCUCCCAGGCCUGUUCUGGUGGAAGAGCAUUUCUGAGCAUCUCUGUGGUAAUUUAAUUUUCAAAUGUUUAUUGCCUUUGUUUACAUAGAUAAGGAAGUAAAGCACCUUCAUUUCCCUGACUUAUGUGGCAACAGAACUCCCACUUGGGAAGUGAUAAUCUGCUUCACAGAACUAGUUUCAAGAGUAUCAUCAUGAGUACAGUAAACAAAAGAUGGCUGAAGGGAACAGGAAGAUACCAGGGAGAUCAAAACCUCUACAGUGUUCUCAGGUUUUUAUCAUUGUUAGAGAAAGAACUCAAAGGUGUGGCAAAGGAUGGGGAGAGAGCCUUGAAUACAAAACAGAAGUACCCAGGAGACAUGUGAGCCACUUGGAGUCAGUCAUGCCUCUAGGAAUGACCGGAACAGCACUUUUCCAGAGAAAGUCUCAGGGUAGGAGGCUUAUUCAAGACCCAAGAAAUAGAGUCUAUUCCUCAGUUUUGUCAUUAUGUCUUUGACAUGUGUCUUCUGGGAGCAACAACUGUAGAAGGCCGAUGAAGGGAGAUGCCACUUUAAUGACGCAGAGUACUGUCAGUGUAUCCUCUAAGUCUGGAGGUUGUCCAAGGUGGUUUGAGCAAGCUCUGAGUGUCACUGUAGUGACAUGAAGUCCUAUGGUAAACGUGUUCUGUUUAGGAAUCAGCCUCCAGACACCAUGCAAUCACCUUUUCCCCGAUGGGGUCUAGCCUGCAUCCAAAGCAAUGAACUUCAUGGCAUCAAAUAACAUUCUUCAAAAUCCUGCCACAUCCGAGAUAUGCUUAGAAAGCCCACAGCAGGCUGCAAACAUCUAAAGACAUAUGUGGCGAAGCCUGCGAUGAAAAAAAAAAAGAUCAACUACUUGGGAAAAUCUAAUAAAGUAAAUGUUUGAUGUUAAGAUCUGAAUACUCAGGAAUCCUAUUUAUCAUCAAGGAUUAGCAGAGUUUUUAAAAUUCAAGAGCCAGUAAAGAUACAGCUAGAAAAUUUCUUCCUAGAGUCCCCCUUUUAUUAUUAAUUAAACUCAUUAUAGGGGCUGGGG
rnacentral:lncRNA from 1 species